rnacentral:misc_RNA from 1 species
GCAAACUUGGUCAUUUAGAGGAAGUAAAAGUCGUAACAAGGUUUCCGUAGGUGAACCUGCGGAAGGAUCAUUACAGAGUUAGGGUCUUCCACGGCCCGACCUCCCAACCCAAUGUUUACUUAUACUCUUUGUUGCUUCGGCGAGCCCGUCUCUCGCGAGACCGCCGGGGGAUCGUCAGUCGUCCUCUGGCCCGUGCUCGUCGGUGGCCCCCCUUUUAAAAUUCUUUACUAAACGUGUAUUGACUAAGACUAUGUUUUUAAUAAAAGCAAAAACUUUCAACAACGGAUCUCUUGGUUCUGGCAUCGAUGAAGAACGCAGC